rnacentral:rRNA from 1 species
UACGGAGGAUCCGAGCGUUAUCCGGAUUUAUUGGGUUUAAAGGGUGCGUAGGCGGCUUUUUAAGUCAGCGGUGAAAUUUUGCAGCUUAACUGUAACAGUGCCGUUGAUACUGGGGAGCUAGGAUUUGGUUGCUGUGGGUGGAAUGUGUGGUGUAGCGGUGAAAUGCUUAGAGAUCACACAGAAUAUCGAUUGCGAAGGCAGCUCACAAAGCCAAGAUUGACGCUGAGGCACGAAAGUGUGGGGAUCAAACGGGAUUAGAUA